UACGGGGGGGGCAAGCGUUGUUCGGAAUUACUGGGCGUAAAGGGCGUGUAGGCGGCCAACUAAGUCCGACGUGAAAUCCCCAGGCUUAACCUGGGAACUGCGUCGGAUACUGGAUGGCUUGAAUUCGGGAGAGGGAUGCAGAAUUCCAGGUGUAGCGGUGAAAUGCGUAGAUAUCUGGAGGAAUACCGGUGGCGAAGGCGGCAUCCUGGACCGACAUUGACGCUGAAGCGCGAAAGCUAGGGGAGCAAACGGGG
rnacentral:rRNA from 1 species